rnacentral:rRNA from 1 species
AAUCAGGGUUCGAUUCCGGAGAGGGAGCCCGAGAAACGGCUACCACUUCCAAGGAAGGCAGCAGGCGCGCAACUUACCCUAAUCUCGAUUCGAGGAGGUAGUGACAAGAAAUACCGAUGCGGGGACCCCUACGGGGUGCCGCGUUCGGAAUGAGUACGAUUCGAACCACCUAACGAGGAACGAUCGGAGGGCAAGUCUGGUGCCAGCAGCCGCGGUAAUUCCAGCUCCAAUAGCGUACGUUAAAGUUGCUGCAGUUAAAAAGCUCGUAGUUGAACGUUCGGGUUCCGCGGGACGGGGCCGCCCCGCGAGGGACGGCGCCGCCCCGGGGCUCGUGAUAUCUCAUCUCGCCGCCCGUCGCGAGGCGGACGGAGGGAUGGAUGAGGUUACCUGGAAAAAAUCGGGGC